ACAUCUAUCAAAAUAGUUUUUGGUCUGUGAUGUGAUCAAAAUCAGCUGUGAACAUCAGCAUGGCCGUUCCGUUAUCCACAAAAUAAAAUUGUUUUUGAUAAAAAAUCAUACAAUAAAAAACAGAAAAGUGCAGUCAAAGUCGAGAAACCGUGUAAAAUAUUCCGUUGCAUCUUCGCGAGCUAUCGGUGUUGAUGUUGACUAAAAGUGUUGCGUCAUGACAGAAUAGCCUCUCACUGACAAAUAAAUACAAUAAAAAGUGCUCACGAGAGAUUACGGCAAAGGAGCAUUUCCAUUUCGCUCGUAUAACGCGUCUGUCGAGUAUUUCGCUAAUGUGAAAAAGUGCGCCACGAUCGUAAGAAUGAGCAGCGUCCGCUUAAGCAUUGUGUCGUUCGGGAGGAUCGCUGUGAAGAGAAAUUCGCAGUUGACAUCAGGUGCCCACCCGUGCCGCACGCUGCGCCGCACGCUGCCGCGCCCGCUGAGCACCUGCGCGGUGCUGUGCAAGAGCCCCACGGAGCAGCCGCCCGGCCCGCCGCACUCCUCCAAAGAUGCACCAGGAACAGGUUCGUCGUCGAGCGGCAAGAAGGGCGGCAGCGGCGUGCUCACGUGCCCCAAGUGCGGCGACCCGUGCACGCACGUGGAGACGUUCGUGAGCUCCACGCGCUUCGUCAAGUGCGACAAGUGCCACCACUUCUUCGUCGUGCUCAGCGAGGUCGACACCAAGAAGAGCAUCAAGGACAACGCCGACAACAAGUCCGGCUUCUACAGAAAGCCGCCGCCGCCGCCGAAGAAGAUCUUCGAGUACCUCAACAAACACGUGGUGGGGCAGGAGUACGCCAAGAAGGUGCUGUCGGUGGCCGUGUACAACCACUACAAGCGCAUCUACAACAACGUGACCGGCGCCGCCGGCGACCAGCACCACCCGCUGCACCACACGCACAGAGAUCUACUACACUUGAGCCACAACACCAGCAGCGGCGGCGGCGUGGCGGGCGGCGGCGCCGAGGUGCUGGAGAGGAACCACCACGAGCUGCGCCUCGACAAGAGCAACGUGCUGCUGCUGGGACCCACCGGCAGCGGUAAGACGCUGCUGGCGCAGACGAUCGCGCAGUGCCUGGACGUGCCGUUCGCGAUCUGCGACUGCACCACGCUGACGCAGGCCGGCUACGUGGGCGAGGACAUCGAGAGCGUCAUCGCCAAGCUGCUGCAGGAUGCCAACUUUAAUGUGGAACGCGCACAGACUGGCAUCGUUUUUCUGGACGAAGUGGACAAAAUCGGCGCUGUGCCUGGAAUACAUCAACUGAGAGAUGUUGGAGGCGAGGGCGUGCAGCAGGGCAUGCUGAAGAUGCUGGAGGGCGCGGUGGUGUCGGUGCCGGAGCGCAACUCGCGCAAGCUGCGUGGCGACGCUGUGCAGGUCGACACCACCAACAUCCUGUUCGUGGCCAGCGGCGCCUACAACGGGCUCGACAGGCUAAUCCAGCGGCGCAACAACGAGAAGUACCUCGGGUUCGGCGCGUGGGACCCCAAGUCGGGGCGGCGCGCGGCGCUGGCGGCGGCGGCGGCGGACGCGUCCCCGCUGGACAGCGCCAGCGCCGAGGCCGACGAGCGCGACCACUGGCUGCGCGCCGUGCAGGCCCGGGACCUCAUCGACUUCGGCAUGAUACCGGAAUUUGUGGGCCGCUUCCCCGUGCUGGUGCCGUUCCACAGCCUCAACCAGGACCUGCUGGUGCGGAUACUCACUGAACCCAAGAACGCUCUCAUGGCUCAAUACAAGCUGCUGUUCGCGAUGGACAAGUGCGAGCUGUCGUUCAGCGACGAGGCGCUGCAGGCGGUGGCGUCGCUCGCCAUGGAGAGGAAGACCGGCGCGAGAGGGUUGAGGGCUAUUAUGGAGAACCUGCUGCUGGAAGUGAUGUUCGAGAUCCCCGGCUCCGACAUCACGUGCGUGCACAUCCACGAGGGCUGCGUGUCGCGCAGCGAGGCGCCCAGCGUGCGGCGCCGCGCGCACGAGCGCGAGCAGGAGGAGCAGCACUGGCCCUCGGUGCGCCUCACCAACUGAACCGUUAGAAACCGCCGCCGUGUGGCCGCGCACUAACGGGUGUUCGAUAUGACACAGCGAUCUCAAGUCAGAACCGGAGCCGUCAGUCAGUCAGUGCGCGCUGUGAGGUGCGAGUAUGGUGGCGAACGAACAAACACACACACAUAACGAAACCCGCGGCUUCGCCCGCGCUUUGACCGCAAGUUAAUUUAUACUGUUAUAUACAUAAUACGAAAAAAAUUGAAACAAUGAAUAGUUAAAAUAAAUUCUGAUUUCUUUUGUCACUUACCUUGUUUUAAAUUGUAGAUUUGGAACGUAUGUGUUAGAUUUUUUUUUAAUUUUCAAUAUCAAUGAAUCAGUUACAGUUAUAAUUAUAUUACUCGUAUAUUUUAUAAAUUAUUCUUCAGCCGACUGAAUAUUGGAUUAUGAAAUGAGGUUGUUAAACCACGAGUGCAUUUUAUAAAACGAACGAAGUGUGUUUUAUAAUACUUUGCGAUAGUUUUUGAUCUACAAUGAUCAAAGUCUUUCUACAGUGGUCUUUGCAGUUGUAGGAAUGACAGAAUGCUAGUAAACUGUAAAAUGUCAGAUCUGGGUAUUGAACAAUUGACAGUUCAGCGCGAUAUCGUGUAAUGUGUUUUUGGGAUAUGCCGAUAGAUGACGUUAAAAAAAUUUUGUAUCGAGGUGUUAGAAUUUCGCGUAAAUUUGCAAAAUGAAUAAGAUGUUAUCAUCCAAAUGGAAACUAACUGAAGUUUUAUCAGCUCGUCAUAUGUUGUGUAAAUAUUUAAAAAUGCUAUCCAUUUAACAAAUAUUAUAAUCAUAUUAAAACAAAAGAGUUAAAUAUUUUAUUUGCAAUGUGUAAUUUGAUAAUAAUAUGUCAAUAGAUUAAUGUGGAAAGAAAAUCAACUCUUUCGCAUGAUAACAAUGCUGUCAUAUUUGUAAAGCUCUGAUUGUGCGUAUGCACGUGUCUACGCACAAUUUUGUAUUAUAACACUAAAAUAUCUACGUACAUAUGUUGCUCAUAAUAAAAAAAUAACAAAAAAUUUUUUUUGUGUAAAAUCUUAUAGUAAUCUUUUCGUAUCUUAAGGAGAUUGCUUAAAUUGAUAAGACGCUUUUUCGUUUCAUUUUCCAUAACGUUUGCGAAUUUUUUGUAUCAAGUGCAAUUAAGACAAACAAAACUAAGAUUGGAGUUAUCUUUACUACCAUGGACCGGAUUGGUCAAAGACACUUGAGCAGCAAUAACAGUAAUAAUAGAAAGAUUAAUUGUUAAGAUAUUAUGAGACAUAAAAAGAUUUUUAAUUAUUAUAUUUGCAUUUCAAAGAUAUGAGUAUCAUAUGCCUCGGCUAAAUUACUAUUGUUUUUUUUCGUUUUAACUAAAUAAACAAAAAAUGCAAGGUAAAUAUUCAGUAAUGAAAUUUUGUGACGUCGUCCACCAUACAACUUGAAAUAAUUCUUGUGAUGUAAAUUACUGUAAAUAUAUAGUAAAUGCUAACUAGAUAAAAAUAAAUAAAUAGUUAAGUUUGGAUAGAAUAAUACUUUUUUUAGUGCAUAAAAGUUGUAAGUAGGACCGAAAAAUAAACAAAAAAAGAGUAACUCAUUGAAAAUGUUAUAUUUUGACAAUGUUUUUGUUUUUUUAUUUUAUUUUAUUAUUUUUUUUAUUUAAAAUAUUAUGUACAGUUGCAAUGUGAUUAUAAAGUUACUGGUAAGGAAAUUUCAAAAAUUUCUUGUAGCAUUAUAAAUGAUGAUACUUUGAAUGAAGAGAGAAGAUAAAUAAUAAUCACUUUACAGCUAGAUUUAUAAAUAGAUUAAGAUUAUUUUCGAGAUAAAAUAUAAAGAAAAACAAAUUGUA